CCUUUGUACACACCGCCCGUCGCUACUACCGAUUGAAUGGCUUAGUGAGGUGUCCGGACUGGCUCAGGGAGGUCGGCAACGACCACCCAGAGCCGGAAAGCUCAUCAAACUUGGUCAUUUAGAGG
rnacentral:rRNA from 1 species